UCCCUGGAGGAAUAGUGGUUAGGCCGCAUCACUCUCACUGCAGUGGCCCAGGUUCGAUUCCCAGCCAGGGAA